rnacentral:lncRNA from 1 species
AUGCUUCUGAGCAUUUUGGAUAAGGGAUGCUCAACCUGUACCAAACACCUGUUAUUAAAGAUGAACUGGGAGUAUGCUUGGGUUGUCGCUUGUCCUUCUCCCAGGUGCCAAGCUUUCAGCCGUCAGCCUGACGUCCGCCCUUUCUGGGGGCUCCUCGUGCCCAGUCUGAGAACCUCACCAGAUACGCGGACAGCAGGCGAGGCUAGAACAGCUGCAGAUACAGCCAAGUGCCCCUGUCCGCUUGACCCGAGCGCUUCACAUGCACAAGGUCAGAAACGUUUCCAGCAGUGGAAUUUAAUUUGA